rnacentral:rRNA from 1 species
UGAGGAAUAUUGGUCAAUGGGCGAGAGCCUGAACCAGCCAAGUAGCGUGCAGGAUGACGGCCCUAUGGGUUGUAAACUGCUUUUAUAUGGGAAUAAAGUGAGGGACGUGUCCCUUAUUGCAUGUACCAUAUGAAUAAGGACCGGCUAAUUCCGUGCCAGCAGCCGCGGUAAUACGGAAGGUCCAGGCGUUAUCCGGAUUUAUUGGGUUUAAAGGGAGCGUAGGCUGUUUGUUAAGCGUGUUGUGAAAUGUAAGAGCUCAACUUUUAGAUUGCAGCGCGAACUGGCAGACUUGAGUGCGCACAACGUAGGCGGAAUUCAUGGUGUAGCGGUGAAAUGCUUAGAUAUAAUGACGAACUCCGAUUGCGAAGGCAGCUUACGGGAGCGCAACUGACGCUAAAGCUCGAAGGUGCGGGUAUCGAACAGG